AUUGAACGCUGGCGGCAGGCCUAACACAUGCAAGUCGAACGAGUGGCGGACGGGUGAGUAAUGUCUGGGAAACUGCCUGAUGGAGGGGGAUAACUACUGGAAACGGUAGCUAAUACCGCAUACCAUCGGAUGUGCCCAGAUGGGAUUAGCUAGUAGGUGGGGUAACGGCUCACCUAGGCGACGAUCCCUCGCUGGUCUGAGAGGAUGACCAGCCAAACUGGAACUGAGACACGGUCCAGACUCCUACGGUAGGCAGCAGUGGGGAAGAUUGCACAAUGGGCGAAAGCCUGAUCCAGCAAUGCCGCGUGUGUGAAGAAGGUCUUCGGAUUGUAAAGCAAUUUAAGUUGGGAGGCGUUACCAACAGAAUAAGCACCGGCUAACUUCGUGCCAGCAGCAGCGGUAAUUA
rnacentral:rRNA from 1 species